UGAGCCUUGAGCGCUGAUUGAAGCUUUGCCCGCACUCAGAGCAUGUGUAGGGCAUCUCCCUUGUGUGGAUUCUCUGAUGUCUGAUAAGAUGUGAGCUCUGACUGAAGCUUUUCCCGCACUCUGAGCAUGUGUAGGGCGUCUCUCCCGUGUGGAUUCUCUGAUGUUUGAUAAGGUCUGAGCGCCAACUAAAGUUUUUCCCACACUCAGAGCAUGUGUAGGGCGUCUCUCCUGUGUGGAUUCUACGAUGUGCAUUCAGGGUAGAGCUCCAGUU